rnacentral:misc_RNA from 1 species
CCAACGGUCUUUCUCCCAGCAGGAGAAUAGAG